rnacentral:tRNA from 1 species
CAAUUUAAAGCUUAAAUAGUAAAGCGUUUUAUUUACAUUAAAAAGAAAGAUGUGCAAUUCAUUUUAAAUUGA